rnacentral:lncRNA from 1 species
GGUAUCUUAAAGUAAAUAAACUUUGUGAUGUGUUAGAUUUGAGGACUUAAAGAGUCGAUACAACAACAAAGCUGGCAGCAUUGGACACCUGGGAAACCCUGAUGAUUAUGGAAGAAGACCCUCCCUGGGUGCAUGGUACUAAGUAAGCAAACAUUUUCCUCUAAUUCAGAUUCUUUAAACAAAAGUUGCAAAUGAAUGUAGCCUUCAUCUAUUGUAAAAUUAAAGAUGGAGAUGGUCAAGGGGUUACCGCCAGUCUGUUUCUUGCGCUGAUAAUUUUUCUAGACAUUAAAUCUCACCAUUUGUUCCCAACAAAGAAAGAAAGACAGGACCACCAGACUCUACAGGGUGAUCUGACACUAACAACUUAACAACCAUUCUACUGAGUCAACAAAUUUCUCCUCUGUGUACAGACUUCAACCGAAGAAUCUAAUACUACUGUGAAGUGCUGCUGGGCAGGACACACGUUCAGGAGACACAGUAGGGGAACAGAUGAGGCCAGAGUGGCCCACAGCCGGGGUGAAGAGCCCCCAAUUAUUUAUAAAGUGUUUGCUGCCUCAUUUAUGAAAAUAAAUAGUGCAAAGCUGUUACAAGUAUUACAUUUUUACAUCAAAUUAAACAUUUCAAAAUUAGUGUCACAGCUUCUCCUGGGAGCAACUUUUGAGGGGCUUUUUAUCCAAUAACAGCAAAAUGGUUAUUUAGAGAAUAGACCUAGAAUGUUUCUUAAAUGGAAAGCACACCCAGCAAUAAAGUCACCUGUUCCUUACAGCCGACUUGGGUUUGUACUGCCACUCCACCCAUCCCCAAAUGGACAGGGAACUUCGAUCCAUUGAGCCACCACUGUCCUACUGUCCCUCCCUGCCAAGUGUAGAUCACAAGGACUAAAGGCUGCAGCCUCUCUUCUGCAAACACUCUUCACCUUGUUCUCCUCUUAUUUCUUAGCACUGUUCUGGCAAAACCCCAAUCUUGAUCAUAAUCGUCCCUCCCCCACUCUAUGCCUACAACCAGGUGGCUGAAAAUUGCUAGGAAAUUCUAACAUCCACAAGGACUGGUCUCUUUCGUAGAAUAAAUGACAAAAUCAUCAAGCAGCAUGAAAGCUCCUCCCAUAUUCCACAGUAAAUAUUUAUUGUUACUUACUCUUCCAGAAAUUAUUUCAUAUUUUCUCCUCUUCAAACAUCUGUGAUAAAACUCAGCUGAUGACUUCACACUUCCUUAGUAAAAGAUACAGCCAGAUGAGAAUUAUUUCAUCUGGCACCCACCCACCAAAUGUAUUUUUUUGUUAACUCCUUUGUCUCUUACACCUGGCACAAUUUUUCAUGAAUGCAUUGAGCUAACCUAAAUUUUAAAACUGUUGUUAUAAUAGAAUAACUGUCCCAGCUCCUGUUUAAUUCCAGCCAUCCCUCACCCACGUAAGACUUUAUUCUUGCAGUUUUUGCCAGCUCCUGCAUCAUCAGUUUUUUCUACUAAAAUGGGUCAUUCCUACUAGCAUGCCAGAGUAGCUCGCAUAGUACAAAUAAACAAAUGAAAUUAUCCCUUGGCUUCUUGAACUCCAGCCACAGUUCUUGUUCUCUGUUCAUCUGCAUGGCAAAACUCCUUAAAGGAGGUGUCUAUGUUAAGUGUCUCUCUUUUCUCACCUCCAUCCUCCCUUCAGCUCACUCAAAGUUAGCUUCUAUUCUUAUCUUUGCACUGAAAAAGCACUAGUUUGUGUCAAUCACAAUUUUCAUUAGAUUUGGUCAUGUUAAGUACUUGAAAUAAAUUCUAACAUAGUUUUAAUAUAUGUAGAUAUGUGUAAACAUAGAUACUGCUUUAAUAUCUACAGAUAAGGAAACUGACACUUAAAGUGUGCCUGAGGUUACACACUGCAUGAGUGAUAGAUCCAGUCUUCCAACCCGGGCAGUCUGACUCCAAUUUCUGUGAUCUCAACGGCAGUGGACUAAAACCCACCUUUAGGGAAAACCUCCCUCUUGGCAUUUUCUUCCCCCAGCACCCACUAGCUUGGGAAUCCCUUUAUUGGCUGCCUUGUAACUCGGUAUGCCUCCUUUGCAGUAUUUGCAUCACAGUUUGUAAUUAUAUGUUUAUUGUUGAUAUUUUGACAACAUCUGGUUUUCCUACUAAGCUGUAAGCUUCUGAAGGCAGAAGGAAGAAAUUGUCUUUUUUUUGGUUAUUGUUUUAUCCCUCUACUGUGAACAUGAUUUUGAAUGAAUGGAUGGAUUAAAAUGAAUUUAAAUGAUCUUGGGACAAAUUCUCAUACAAAUUAUGUAUUUGCAGUAUGUCCCAAUAUUGAAGUCCAGUUAGAGAUUUUUGUUGUUGUUGUUGUUGUUUGUUUUUUGUUUUGUUUGUUUGUUUGUUUUGAGAUGGAGUUUCUCUCUUGUUUCCCAGGCUGAAGUACAAUGGCAUGAUCUUGGCUCACUGUAACCUCUGCCUCCUCCUGGGUUCAAGCAAUUCUCCUGCCUCAGCCUCUCAAAUAGCUGGGAUUACAGGUGUGCACCACCACACUCAGCUAAUUUUUGUAUUUUUAGUAGAGAUGGAUUUUCACCAUGAUGCCCAGGCUGGUCUGGAAAUCCUGACCUCAAUUGAUCCACCUGGCUCGGCCAGUGAAAGUGCUGGGAUUACAGGCGUGAGCCACUGCACCCUGCCCAGUUAGAGUUUUGACAGACGUGUAUACACCCAUGUACUCACCACCCUAUGCCGGAGUAGAACAUUUCUAUCACCCCAAUUUCCAUCAUGUGACAAGAUUUCUAGGACCUGAGAACUACUUGCCUGUCCAGUGCCAUGAAGACAUCUGAGUAAUUGGAUAUGUCUGUUUAGUUACAGGCUCCAACACUCAUAAACUCUGCCACACUGCCUGGAUCCAAUCUUGCCUCGGCCAUUAUGACUGAAAACUGUGGACAAGUCUUUCACUCCCUUGGUGUCUCAGUUUGUUAAUUGAUAAAUGGUGAAAAUUGUGGCACAGUUGGUUUAUUGUGAAGAUUAACAAGUUGCUACAUGUAAUGCACUAGAACCUACCAUAAAGAAGAUUGCAAUUACUACCAUGUCUGCUACUUUUAUUACUACUAAUUUGUUCAUGUAAUAAAUGCACCCAUUAUGUCCUUGGCACUAGGGUAGUUGCUAAGAAUAUAGCGUUAGUGAGACACACUCAUGAUUUCACAGAGCCCAAUUUUAGCACUAUGCAAUGGAGUAGAAGAAACACAACAUUGGAAUAAACAGAGUUCUUUAGGAACUCACAACCAGAGGGAGUGGUUUCCUUUGUAAUCGUUGCUGGGGAAGGAGGAAGAGUGCUAUUGACUGAAUGUUUACUUCCCCCUAGUAUCCAUACGCUGAAAUCUAUUCCCUUAAGGUGAUGGUAUUUGGACGUGAGGUCUUCGAGAGCUGAUCAGAGGGAUGACUGUCUUCAUAAAGGAAGUCUCAGCGAGCUCUCUCACUCCUGUCAUCUUGUGAGAACACAGUGAGAAGUAUCAGCCAUCCAUCUGUUAACCAGGAAACAGGCCCUCACCAGACACCAAAUCUGUUGGCCCCUUGAUCUUGGACUUCCCAGCCUUACAGUACUGUGAGAAAUAAAUUUCUGUUGUUUAUAGGAUGCCCAUCUGUGGUAUUCUGUUAUAGUCUUCUGAAUGGACUAAGAUAAGGAUCAAGACCAUGAAAGACUUCACAGAGGGAGUGACAUUUGAACUAGAGUUUGAAAAAUAGACGUUGAAGGGGAGAUCACUGGCAUAGACUUGAAAGUAGAGAAUGGAAGAUGGUUACAGAAUAGGAAGGAAAAGAAACAGUGUGUGUAAAGAUAAGAAAGUAUAUAAUUACAGUAUUCGGUUUGUUUAAGGAAAGUCCCUGAGGCCAAUAAGGUUCAAGAAUAGGCAGGCUCACAGAGCUGUGGUAAUAGUUAAAAUACAACAAACAGUAUACACUAGUUGGUAAAUAAUUGCCCUUCCACACUUCCAAUAUGUCACUCAAGCUCUGCAGCCUGGACUACCUUAGAACCUUCCAAACACCUCAGAUUCUUUCUUGAUCCACCAACUAAAGGGUUGCGCUUCCAUGACUAAUAGCUGUGCCUCUUCUGAUUGGUUAGAAUCCUAUGGGUUGUUGAAUAUUUUUAAUAUCAUCCCUGAGUACAGAUAGUGGGAGUAUGUGAGUUUACUUUUUUAUAUCUAAUUAAUUGGUAUUUAAAUUGACACUAAGUGAUGUGAAGCUAGUUUUAUCCCUAUAAUGCCUGCAUUUGAAUGACUACUUAUUAACCUUAGAAAUACCUAAAGAAAAAGGUAUUUUUUCAAGUUGUCUUUAUUGUUAAUUUCUAUAAAUUAAAAUGCAAGGAGAUGCCACAACAGAACCUGGAAAAUGCAGAAGUUACUUGUCUACUAUCUUCUGUCAAUUAAUACAUAAUUAUUGUAAAAAUGUUUUAAAAUGCUUAAAAUAACCCCAGAAUUAAUAACCGUUAACUUUUUUUUAGGAAUCCUCCCAGCUGAUUUCAAUGUAACUGGUGUUAUAAUGUAUGUGUAUGUAUGUGUGUGUGUAUGUGUAUGUGUGUCCCCCCCAGGUAAUCUUAGUGUAACUAGUGUUGUAAUAAGCAUGUGCAUGUGUGCACACAAAUACAUUAUGUGUAUUGUUGUUCACAUGAAUUGCUUUCUACUAAAUAUUCUGCUCUGUAAUUUUGCAAUUUUUCCACUUAACAAUGUAUCUUGCACAUGUUUCUGUAACAGUAUAUAUAGAUUUACUUAUUUUCUUUAAAAAAAUCAUUGUUUAGAAUUCUGCCUAGAAUGUCUACCAUAAUUUAUGAUGGAUAUUUAAGUAAUUUCCAGACUUUUAUUAUUGUUAACAGGGUUGUAGUUAAUAUCUCUGAACAUAUAUCAUUGUACAUUAUAAAAGUUUUUUGUGAAAUUGAUUCUUUGAACACACAAGUAACUCAUGCUAAUUGUUUUCAAAUAUAAAUUGUUGUUAGUGUGCAAAAAAAAUACAAGUUUAAUUACCUGAAUCCUUAAUAAGCUUCUCUGAAAGCUUUAUAUAUCUCUCAAGCAGAAAAAAUAAGUAGAUGAUAUAAUUGUCCCCUGUCUAGACUGAGGCAACCAUGGUGACAUUUGUUCUCAAUUAUUAAUUAAACACACAUGAAACCCUUUAGAUAAGCAGGUGAUAUGGUUAUUAUUAGAUGUAUUGCUUGUUUACAACAAGGACAUAUUUAGAGCUUGAGAUCAAAGUUCCAAAGCUGAUUUCAAAACAGUAGCAUUAAUUACGCUAAGGCCUGGGACUCUGGGGAAGCAAUUCAAAGCGAAUAAAAAUGACUUCAACUACAGCGAAGUUAUGUCUUUACAUCAUUAUUCUAAAUCCAUUACUCAGACUGUUGCAAUGGUGCUGGUGGAGGCGAAAAAAACAAAACAAACCCUCAAAAAAUUUCACUGUAUUCUCUCAAAGAAGAUAUGCACUGUACAUAUGUGAAAGAGUUAUAUCAAUACUUAUCCAUUAAUUAUUUCACUUAAAACCCAUUUAUUCACCAAUACCUGAGUGCCAAGCUCAGUGCUAAGCAGUAAGGAAGGAGCUUUGAACAAAACAGACAUUAUUCCUAAACUCACAGUCCUCUCCCUAGACUUGACGUUUAGCCACCAUAGCAAUUUUUUUCUGGGGGGAGGGGGCAGGAGGGGCAGAAUGUGUUCAUAUAAACUUCUUCCUCAGCAUUUUCACUGCCAUUAUUCUAGCUCAGGUCAUUACCAUUUCAUUCCUGAACUGUUAGAUUUUUAUAAUUGCUUACCCUGCUCCCAGCCCUAAUCUAUUAAUCGACUUUAACCCAGUAUUGCUAAAAGUGUUUUUUCUAAACACUAUUCUUUUUUGAGACAGAAUCUUGUUCUGUUGCCUAGGUUGGAGUACAGUGGCACCAUCUCUGCCCACUCCAACCUCUGCCUCCAAGGUUCAAGUAAUUCUCUUGCCUCAGCCUCCUGAGUAGCUGGGAUUACAGGUGCCUGCCACCAUACCCUGCUAAUUUUUGUAUUUUUAGUAGAGACAGGGGUUUCACCAUGUUGCUUAGGCUGGUCUCGAACUCCUGACCUCAAGUGAUCUGCCCGCCUUCGCCACCCAAGGUCCUGGGAUUACAGGCAUGAGCCACCACACCCAGCCACACAUGAUUCUUUUAAUGUUGAUCCCUUAUUCAAUCACAAUGCCUGAGUGUUUUCUGCAAUGUCCAAAAUGUAUAUAUAUGCCAGUACUAAUGGCCUACCAUAUUUUCCCCAAUCGAUCUGUCUAAUCUGCUUACAGAUGUCCCCAUAGACACACACACACACACACACACACACACACACACACACCCCUACCUCACUCCAGUUAGUACGUGCUCCACACUAACUUCAGAAAUCUGCUUUGGAUCUUUUUGUGUCUGAUUCUGAGUUCAAAGUCUUAUCUCUAUUAGAUUCCUCCUUUGGUUGCAAUGAUCUAAAUUUUGUUCACAAUUUAAGACUGGAAUGAAGCCCUCACCUAACAAAAUUAGUUAUCUAGUGUCUAUUACAUGACAGACACUGAAUUAAAGCAUUGGGAAUAAAAAUAAAUAUAAAAAUAUAGUCCUCUUACUUAAUAACAGACAUCAGCAGAUAAUCACACUAUAAAAUGGCAAAUCUGGUGAAGACGUAUGUCUACUAUGGAAGUAGAGAGACGGUUACCCAGUCCAAUUAGAGGUAUGGGUAAGGAGCAAGGAAGGCUUCUUGGAAGAGGUUACCCUCAAAAAGAAUCUUAUUAGGAGGAGUUAUCUAGGUGAAGAGGAUAGGGACAUUCCAAGCAAAGGGGAGAGCCUGAGCAAAGGCAGAGGCAGGAUAAACAAUAUAGCAUAUGAGAGGAAUUACAAGGCCUUCAGUAUUGUGGGAAAGCAAAGCAUGAGGUAGGUGGUCAUGUAAAAUAAUGACAAAGAAAUAGACCAAAUAAUGUGGAACCACUGGCAAAUUUUGUUAGGAAAGUAACAAAAUCAGAAUCAAAUUUGGAUGCAUUUUUCUGUCCACUGUGAGAGGAUGAGUUUGGGCACAGAGUUGUAGAGGCUGGCAGACUACUGGAAUAGUCUAGGGCCUGCAUUAAAGUAGCAUGAGUAGUUAUGGGGAUGAAGAAACUGAUUCAAUAUUACUUAAUUGGGUUCCUUGAGGGAAAGUACACAUUACAUGGUGAUUAUCUGGAUAUAAAAGCCAAAGGAAAAGAGGAAUUCAAGGAUGAGCUUCAAGCCUCAGUUUCUAUUUUGGAUGACUAGGUAAAUGGUGUACUCCUGACAAAGUUGGCAAUUACAGGGAGAAGCAGCAGAUGGGGAAUACCCUAACAUGCUCCAAAGGAUUUAGGGUGGUGCAUGGAGCUACAAGUUCCCAUAGGGACAAUCAGGUGGAGAUGAUGAACUGGUUCUGGGAAAAUUUCAGAGCUGGAGAGAUAGCAUGGAGCAUUACUGGCAAAGUAACACCAGGAUUACUAAAGUACACAUCUUUUCUGGUGGCAGUCAAAAUCCUGAAAGUGGAUUAACACAAGGAAGUACAGAAAAUGGAAGACAUAGUGGCAGAAUGUCAGGAAUAUCAACAUUUAAGAAAUAAAAAAUGACAGAAAAAGUCGUGAAAGAGGACAAAAAAGAGUGAUCAGAGAUUGUAAGCUGGUUAAAGACAGAGCAGCAGAGUGGUGUAAAGGAACUCAGAGAUUGAAGCGUUAAAUAAAGGAAGUCAUUACCAUUGCCAGAUGCAACAGAAACAUCUGCCCAAUUUUUCUUCAAGAGCAAUUUCAUUGAGGUGAUGGCAGUAAAAGCCAGACUUCAGUCUAUGGAAAAGUGAAUAGAAUAACAUAGAGAUAGCGUAAUACUACAUUCAUAAAAAAAUAGAAAUACAGGAAAGAUGGGACAUAGACUGGUAUAAAAAUAGUGUGGGGAAGGAUUUUUAUUUAGGAUGCAGGAUAUUUAUUUAUUUAUGUUUCUAAGCUAUUAGGUUUUUCUAGCAGAGAGGUGAGAUGGAAGGUUGAGAAAAGAAAAGAUAACUGAUGAAGUAAAAUAUAAAGAUAGUAAAAGGAAAUUGAACCAAAUGCACAUUAUUCUCAAAGACUAAAAGGAAAAAGAGAGAUGAAUUGUGCAUGUAAAUACGUUUGCAAAUAAGGAGGGCAGAGUUAAAGAAGAGCACAUCUAAGGAGCUCACCUCUCUCUUCACCUAUCAAAGCAGAAUGCUUUCCCUACAAAUAGCCCCAAACAAUUCUCUUUAUCACUAUUUUACUCGUAUUAUUUUAAUGAUUACUUAGAAAUUUUCUAGACUGCCUCUCAUGUGUACACACACACACACAUGUACAAACACAAUCUUGAAACAAAUUAUUAACCUUGAAUAGUUAAUAUUGGUGCAUAUUGGUCAGCACCUAUACACAAAAUGGGUUUGCUUUAUGGCUAAAGAAUAAAAGUAGAUUCAGGAAUAAAUUCAAGCACUCCAGAAUGUCACAUGACAAUAUACAAAAUUUAAACGUUAAAGGAAAAGUUAAAAUUAAAGUAACAGGCCUAUAAUCCCAGCUGCUCAGGAGGCUGAGGCAUGAGAAUCACUUGAACCUGGGAGGCGGAGGUUGCAGUGAGCCGAGAUCAUGCCA